AUCUUUGCGCUUGGGGCAAUGACGUAGCUAAUGAGGUAAUAACUGAGGCGCGUCUAUUGCUGGUUGAAAACUAUUUCCAAACCCCCUCUGGGCCUGAGCUUGCCUUGGGCCUUUGAGAAUUUCUGGAAGGGCUCCCUUUUUGGGUAAAGCC
rnacentral:snRNA from 2 species